UAAUCUGUAUCUAAUAUGCAACAAAUAAUGCUGGGGUACGAUGCGGAGCGAAAUUUAGUAGCGAAGUAGCUGAUUUCACACUGUCGAGAAAAGUCUCUAUCGAGGUUAAAGGUGCCUGUACCGCAAACCGACACAGGUGGGUGAGGAGAGUAUCCUAAGGCCAGCGAGAGAACUGUUGUUAAGGAACUCGGCAAAAUGACCCCGUAACUUAGGGAGAAGGGGUGCCUUCGAAAGAAGGCCGCAGAGAAUAGGCCCAAGCGACUGUUUACCAAAAACAUAGGUUUCUGCUAAGUCGCAAGACGAUGUAUAGGAGCUGACGCCUGCCCGGUGCUGGAAGGUUAAGGGGAUCUGUUAGAGCAAUCGAAGCAGUGAACUUAAGCCCCAGUAAACGGCGGCCGUAACAAUAACGGUCCUAAGGUAGCGAAAUUCCUUGUCGGGUAAGUUCCGACCCGCACGAAAGGCGUAACGAUUUGGGCACUGUCUCAACAACAGACUCGGUGAAAUUGUAAUACCGGUGAAGAUGCCGGUUACCUGCGACAGGACGGAAAGACCCCAUGGAGCUUUACUGUAGCUUGACAUUGAGUCUCGGUGCUACAUGUACAGGAUAGGUGGGAGACUAUGAAGCAUGGACGUCAGUCUGUGUGGAGUCAUCCUUGGGAUACCACCCUUGUAGUACUGGGAUUCUAACCAGAGGCCAUGAGUCUGGUCUUGGGACACUGUCAGGUGGACAGUUUGACUGGGGCGGUCGCCUCCCAAAAAGUAACGGAGGCGCUCAAAGGUUCUCUCAGUACGGUCGGAAAUCGUACGAAGAGUGUAAAGGCAAAAGAGAGCUUGAUUGCAAGACAUACAGGUCGAGCAAGGACGAAAGUCGGACUUAGUGAUCCGGUGGUUCCGCAUGGAAGGGCCAUCGCUCAACGGAUAAAAGCUACCCUGGGGAUAACAGGCUGAUCUCCCCCAAGAGUCCACAUCGACGGGGAGGUUUGGCACCUCGAUGUCGGCUCAUCACAUCCUGGGGCUGUAGUAGGUCCCAAGGGUUGGGCUGUUCGCCCAUUAAAGUGGUACGCGAGCUGGGUUCAGAACGUCGUGAGACAGUUCGGUCCCUAUCCGUCGCAGGCGUAGGAAAUUUGAGGAGACCUGUCCUUAGUACGAGAGGACCGGGAUGGACGUACCGCUGGUGUACCAGUUGUUCUGCCAAGGGCAUGGCUGGGUAGCUAAGUACGGAAAGGAUAAGCGCUGAAAGCAUCUAAGCGCGAAGCCCACUUCAAGAUAAGAUUUCCCACCGCAAGGUUAAGAUCCCAGGAAGACUACCUGGUUGAUAGGUCAGAGGUGUGAGUGCAGUAAUGUAUUUAGCUUACUGAUACUAAUAGAUCGAGGACUUGACU
rnacentral:rRNA from 1 species